rnacentral:rRNA from 1 species
GCUUGUCUCAAAGAUUAAGCCAUGCAUGUCUCAGAAUAAAUCUCUAUACGUUGAAUCUGCAAAUGGCUCUUUAAAACAGUUAUUGUUUACUUGAUGGUCAUUCCUUACAUGGAUAACUGUGGUAAUUCUAGAGCUAAUACAUGUGCCCAAGCCCGACUCCGUGGAAGGGUUGUGUUUAUUAGUUACAGAACCAACCGAUGCUUGCAUCGUCUUGUGGUGAUUCACAAUAACCGAACGAAUCGCAUAGCUGCCGCUGGCGAUAGACCAUUCAAGUUUCUGACCUAUCAGCUAUCGUCGGUAGGGUAUUGGCCUACCGUGGCAAUGACGGGUAACGGAGAAUUAGGGUUCGAUUCCGGAGAGGGAGCCUGAGAAACGGCUACCACAUCUAAGGAAGGCAGCAGG